UAUAUACUCCCUCCGUCCGGAAAUACAUGUCGGGGAAAUAGAUGUACCUAGAUGUAUUUUAGUUCUAAAUACAUCCAUUUUUAUCCAUUUCUACGACAAGUAAUUUGGGACGGAGGAAUAUAAG
rfam:Triticum aestivum genome assembly, contig: Triticum_aestivum_CS42_TGACv1_scaffold_215796_3AS